rnacentral:rRNA from 1 species
UGGGGAAUAUUGCACAAUGGGCGCAAGCCUGAUGCAGCCAUGCCGCGUGUAUGAAGAAGGCCUUCGGGUUGUAAAGUACUUUCAGCGGGUGAGGAGGUUGUGGUUAAUAACCACAGCGAUUGACGUUACCCGCAGAAGAAGCACCGGCUAACUCCGUGCCAGCAGCCGCGGUAAUACGGAGGGUGCAAGCGUUAAUCGGAAUUACUGGGCGUAAAGCGCACGCAGGCGGUCUGUCAAGUCGGAUGUGAAAUCCCCGGGCUCAACCUGGGAACUGCAUUCGAAACUGGCAGGCUAGAGUCUUGUAGAGGGGGGUAGAAUUCCAGGUGUAGCGGUGAAAUGCGUAGAGAUCUGGAGGAAUACCGGUGGCGAAGGCGGCCCCCUGGACAAAGACUGACGCUCAGGUGCGAAAGCGUGGGGGAGCAAACA